rnacentral:lncRNA from 1 species
GAGAUGCAAGUCUGUCGACGCUCCCAGCAGAAUAAAGCCUCUUCCUUCUUUAACCUGGUGUCUGAAGGGUUUUGUCUGUGGCUUGUCCUGCUACAUUUCUUGGUUUCCUGACCGGGAAGUGAGGUGAUUAAGGGACAGUGGAGGCAGCCCCUUAGGCGGCUUAGCCUUGCCCUGCGGAGCAUCCCUGUGGGGUACUCCGGCCAGCUUGAGCAAUGUGGAUCCUGAGAGUGCUCCUGGGUAGGCAUUUGCCCCAGUGGAAUGCCUCAUCAGAGUGGUGCAUGGCAGGCCCCCACGGAGGAUCAACACAGGGGCUGAACACUGGGAAGGAACUGGCACGUGGAGUCCGGACAUCUGGAAUAUGGUGAUCGGGUGUGGAUCAAGGAUUGGAACGUAGCCCCCUUGCGGCCAUGGUGGAAAAGACCCCAGACCAUCAUCUUGACCACUCCUACAGUUGUAAAGGUAGAGGGAAUCCCAGCCUGGAUCCACCACAGCCAUGUAAAACCUGCAGCACCUGAGACCUGGGAAGCAAGACCAAGCCCAGACAACCCUUGCAAAGUGACUCUGAAGAAGACGACAAACCCUUCUCCAGUCACACCCGGAAGCUGACUGGUCCACGCAUGGCCAAAGCAUAAGGAAACUCACCAUGAGACUCAUUUUCCUUAAAUUUUGAACUUGUACAGUAAGGACUUCAACUGACCUUCCUCAGACUGAGGACUGUACCCAGUGUAUACAUCAAGUCACUGAGGUAGGACAAAAGGUUGUUGCAGUCCUAUUAUUUUAUAGUUGUUAUGAGUGUACCGGGACUCUAAAAGGAACUUGUUUGUAUAAUGCUACUCUAUACAAGGUAUGUAGCCCAGGAAGUUACCAGCCUGAUGUGUGUUAUAACCCAUCUGAGCCCCCUAUGACUACCGUUUUUGAAAUAAGAUUGAGGACUGGCAGCUGGGGAAAAGCUGAUAUGAGUAAAUAACUGGAACAGAAGAGAAAGGAGCCCCAAAAAAAUUAUCUUAAAAUUUGAUGCCUGUGCAGCAAUCAACAGUGACCUGUAUGGAAAUAGGAUAAGAUGUGGCUCUCUAGAUUGGGAAAGGGGCUAUAUAGUAGAAAAUAAGUAUGUUUGUCAUGACUUAGGAAUGUGUAGUGAUGAAUGUAGUUACUGGUCCUGUGUCAUUUAGGCCACCUGGAAAAAAAGAUAAGAGGGACCCUGUCCACCUUCAAAAAGGAAAGAGUAACUCUUCCUGCACUAGUGGUCAUUGUAACCCAUUAGAACUACUAAUUACCAAUCUCCUUGAUCCCUGUUGGAAAACAGGAGAGUACGUAACUCUAGGAAUUGAGGGAACUGGACUGGAUCUCCGAGUAAAUAUUUUAAUCCAAGGGGAGGUCCACAGGUGCUUUCCCAAACCAGUGUUUCAGACCUUUUACGAUGAAUUGAAUCUGCCAGCACCAGAGCUUCCACACACACACACACACACACACACACACACACACACACACACACAAAGACAAAGAACUUGUUUCUCCAGUUAUUAGGAAAUGUAGCUCAUUCCCUCAAUGUUACUUCCUGUUAUGUAUGUGGGGGAACCACUAUGGGAGACCAAUGGCCUUGGGAAGCCCGGGAAUUGGUGCCUACUGAUCCAGUUCCUGACAUAAUUCCAGUCCAGAAGGCCCAAAUUAGCAACUUCUGGGUCCUGAAAACCUUGAUUAUUGGAUAAUACUGCAUAGCUAGAGAAGGAAAAGACUUCACCAUCCUUGUAGGAAGGCUCAAUUGUCUAGGACAGAAGCUGUAUAACAGCACAACAGGGACAGUCACCUGGUGGGGUCUAAACCAUACUGAAAAGAAUCCCUUCAGUAAAAUUCCUAAAUUACAGACUGCUUAGGUCCAUCCAGAAUCUCAUCGAGACCGGACGGCUCCCUCUGGACUAUACUGGAUAUGUAGACACAGAGCCUACACUCCGUCACCUGAUCAAUGGGGAAGUAGUUGUGUCAUUGGCACCAUUAAGCCAUCCCUUUUCCUAUUGCCCGUAAAAACAGGUGAGCUCCUAGGUUUCCCUGUCUAUGCCUGAGAAAAGAGGAGCAUAUCUAUAGGAAAUUGGAAAGAUGAUGAGUGGCCCCCCAAAAGGAUCAUACAGUACUAUAGGCCUGCCACACGAGCACAAGACGGCUCGUGGGGAUACCGAACCCCCAUCUACAUGCUCAACCAGAUCAUACGGUUACAGGCCAUAUUAGAAAUAAUCGCUAAUGAAACUGGCAGAGCUUUGACUCUUUUAGUCCAGCAGGAAACCCAAAUGAGAAAUGCCAUCUAUCAGAAUAGAUUGGCCUUAGACUAUUUGCUGGCAACUGAAGGAGGAGUCUGUGGAAAAUUCAACUUGACCAAUUGCUGUCUACAAAUAGAUGAUCAAGGACAAGUAGUUGAAAAUAUAGAGACAUGACAAAGCCAGCACAUGUGCCCAUGCAGAUUUGGCAUAGGUUUGAUCCUGGAUCUUUGUUUGGAAAAUGGUUUCCAGCUCUAGGAGGAUUUAAAACUCUUGUAAUAGGCAUAAUAAUAGUGUUAGGACCUGCAUGUUACUCCCCUGUAUGUUACACAUAUUUCUCCAGUUACUAAGAGGCUUCGUUACCAUCUUAGUUCAUCAAAACACCUCAGCACAAGUAUACAUGAAUCACUAUUAAUCUGUCUCACAGGAAGAUCUAGAUAGUGAGGAUGAGAAUGAGAACUCCCACUAGUGAGUGAGGUUCUCAAAGGGGGAAAUGAGGAGAGAGGCUAUUUCUCCUACUGUCCUGUCUCCAAAGAAAAGGAGAAAGUAAAAACUGAAAAAUAACAGACUGAUUGGCGCCACUGGCCAGGCCUGUAGGUUAAAGAUUAACCCCCACCCCAACCGCUUGUGCUAUCCAUAGAUCACAGACAAUGGUAUGAAGAAAUACUUGCCUUCCUCACCACCCCUACCUAGUCAUGCAGACAAUGGUAUGGAGAAAUACUUGCCUUGGUCACCACCCCAUCUAGUCGCGUACCCCAUGCUUGCUCAAUCUAUCACAACUUUUUCACGUGGACCCCUUAGAGUUGUAAGCCCUUAAAAGGGCCAGGAACCCUUUCUUCAGGGAGCUCGGUUCUUGAGAUACAAAUCUGCCAAUGCUCCCAGCCGAAUAAAGCCUCUUCCUUCUU